UUCUUUUUCAUUGAGCUCGUCUUCAUGCUUUUCUUCUUUUCUUUUCUUUUUCUCAUGAAUUUUUCUCUUUUCACAACAAUUGAGCUCAAUGCCUUUCACUUGCUUUUUCAAUUUUCCCCUGUACAACCCCAAACUUGAACCUUUUCAUCACAUACAAUUAAGCUCAUCCCAACUUAAGGUAAAGAAUUUCAAAACAAGGGUUCACAUACUGUUUAAGGCUAAGGAUCAAAAAGGGUAUAAUAUUUCAAGUACUUUGGGUGAAAAUUUGGCUAGAGAAGGGGUUUCAAAAAUGGCCUUGAUCAUAUGACAUUAUCGAUCAUGAAGAUUAAGGCAAUAUCAUCCAUGUUUUCCUGUGAACAAUUCAUACAACAAUAAAGACUCUGGAGCUCAAAAUCUCACACACAUGCUUUCUCACGCAAAAUUCAUUCAUACACUCUGCCU
rnacentral:lncRNA from 1 species